UAAAUCAAUUCAUACCGAUAAUUAUCAUUUUAUAAUAUAUAUAUCUACUCUUCUCCAGCUCACGUCCUUAUCUAAUCCUUGGCUCAUAUCUUUCCAUUUCAUUCACUUAUAUAUAUGUUAUAACUUGACAACACAAGGCACUCAACUUCUUCUUUUCUUUUAUUCACGGUCCCUUUCCUUAUUCUCGUCCGUUCCUUCUCUUUUGCCCCUGCACCUCUCCAUUAUCAUCAUCAUCAGUCCACAAUUCCUCACUUUUUCCCCAAGUUGGCCGAGAGCAAGGAGGAGCAAGAGGAUUCCGAGCCGAUUUCUCGUUUCUUGUUCAAUCGUUCUGAUUCCAGUUGUGUUGGAUCGACAUCGAGGUUUGGUUGUGGAAACUUUGGGUUUGACUGAGAAAGCUUGUGAGUGAGACCUGCACCGCGAGACUAGAACAACUCGAGGCGUCCGUCAGUCGAUUCGUGAUGAUUCGUCACUCGAGGAGGACCAGGAGCGUAAUGACUAUUACUGAAGUUUUCGACGAGGACCCGGACUAAAUGCAUGACCAGAUGAGGGUCGAUGAUGGAAGUAUAUGGUAUGGGUGUUUAGAGCCUACUAAGGUUGGGUGUUAGUGUCAUAGCUCUGAUUGUCAUUUCUCAUUUUGGGGCAGGGUAGGUCCCCGACUAUUAGCUUUUUGUGUGGUUCUCUUCCAUGAGGAUCACAGGGAGUUUGUCGGACGUAGGAGGUCUUUUGGAAGCCGUUAUGGGCUAACUUACUUUCUUGGAGGACUGUAAUUAUAAAAACUUAUGACUCUGGCUAUGGGUCGCACUUGUUUGCAUGCGGGCACUACUUUCAGUUAUUUGAUGUUACUUUCCGUCUCUUGAGGACACUCGUGAUGAUGUUUUUAGUCGCAGCAAGGGCUGUAUUUAUAUUGUAUAUUAGUCGCUGUUAAUCGCGAUUGGGUUGAGUCUUUAUUUCGACAAGUCAUUUUAUUUAAACAAAACGAAAAAAAAUAUUCACAUUUUUUUUUUCAGCUUUAUUUUAUUUUUGAGUUACUAAAGUGACACCCGGAAAUCGGGGUGUUACACCAGGCAGUCCACAGGUGCCAUAUCCACAGGCAGGCGAGCCUAUGGAGACCGGAGAGCCUAUCCCAGCAGUACCAGUCACCGUGGUGAGCCCACCGGGAUCCCCAGAUCAGAGAGUUCCGCAGACCCAGGAGUCUAUGGGAUCUCCUCCACCCCGAAGGAACUUGUCUUGCUUUCGGGUCACAGCCCGCAAGCGAGUGAGAUCCCCUAGAUUCUCCCGAGAUGCCAGGAUUUAUCGUCGUAGAUUUCGGAGAGGCGAGGCGUCCGGAGUCAGGGAGUCAGAGUAGGGUCCGACAGCAGAGCCAGGGUCAGCGCCAGCAGCCAGCGGGGUAGUCAGUGAGGAGGAUCCGGAGGAGGAAGAUCCGAGGGGAUGAAGCCAUAUGGUCCGAGUUUCUAAUGAUGAUCAUGAUGAUUUAUGUUUCUGUUUCUGUAUUCUGAUUACCUGUACCAGACUAUGUGUUUGAGGGCACUGUGACCUCUUUAUGUGUUGUCUUCUUAUCUGUAGACAUAUGCGGUGGAUCCGUCCACCAACUAUGCUAUGUAUGAUUUGUGUGGUUUAUAUCGUCAUUCUCCGUAGUCUUAAGUUAGGAGGCCGGAAUGCCUGGGGAUGUUAAGGGAGACGCGCGAGUACUCUUUACUCUCGCGAUCCCGACCUAAUGAGGAAACCCUAAGUAGAAAAAAAAAACAAAAGGUUCACUAUUUCACGUAGCGUGCUCACUCCUGAGUGAUGGAGUUAGGGAGAACUCGUCACUUAAGGAAGGGGACGCCACACGGGUUGGUAUCAGAGCAGUGAUUCGUCGGCCUAGGGUUAGAAGCCUACUAGGGAGUCUAGGAUAGGUAGUUGAGGUCAUAGGAAACUAAUCACUCUGU